rnacentral:antisense_RNA from 1 species
CCUGAUGGUGGCUGUGCGCAUGGCGCCCUCGGGUGCGCCGGAUUUGGAUUGGGGUCCGGUCUACUAACUUGCGCACAGCUGCCACCCAU